UACGUAGGGGGCGAGCGUUGUCCGGAUUUAUUGGGCGUAAAGAGCUCGUAGGCGGUUUGGUAAGUCGGGUGUGAAAUCUCCACGCUCAACGUGGAGGGGCCACUCGAUACUGCCAUGACUCGAGUCCGGUGAGAGGAGUGUGGAAUUCCCGGUGUAGCGGUGAAAUGCGCAGAUAUCGGGAGGAACACUCGUAGCGAAGGCGGCACUCUGGGCCGGAACUGACGCUGAGGAGCGAAAGCGUGGGGAGCAAACAGG
rnacentral:rRNA from 1 species